UGAGAACCCUUCUGGUCCAAAGAGUUGGAUUAGUUGACGUAUUGACGUAUUAAAAAAAAUUGUAGCUUUAUGGUUUACAAGAAAAUUGACUUCAAUUUGUGAAUAAGAAGAGUGGUGAUGGUAAUAACAAUAAAUCUCACCAUAAAAUAAAUUUUCUCGAUAGUAUCCUGGUGUUUUAUGAUAGUGGUGUUAAUUGAAUUGGAAGAUAAUCCAUAAGAACCUGAUUCAAUGCAACGCAACUAUUGAUGAAUGCAUAUGACUGGUUCAGUAUAAAAUCAUAAAAAAUAAAAUAGAGCACUCGAGUAUUAGUUGAAACCGUUAUCGCUAUUCUCUUGAUCAAUCAAAAAGCCUCGACCAUUUGACUUUUGUAGCUGCAAUAAUUUAAAGAACCGACAUAACCAAGGUCCUCGAUUGACGGUUAGUCAUAUAAUACAACAGUGUGUGUAGAUUACGUGGAACAAUCAAAACCAAGGACGUUUUAUAGAUCGGCUUGUACGCCAAAACUGCUACAAAUUUUU